rnacentral:lncRNA from 1 species
NAAUUACUUCAAUUUCCCCUUGAUAAUCUGCAUCAGUUCCUCCUCCCAUGACAUGAGCACUUUGCAAGGCCAAGCUCCAGUGAGCAGUUACCAAACCAAAGUGUCCUGGAGGAAUCUGGAUUCCUGUUCCUCUAUUGUUAACUCUCCUUUGCUUCUGAUUUAUCCUGACUAAUUCCAGUGCAUGAAGGUCCAGCCCUGCAGCCUCUGGGCUGGCCCUGCCAGGGCCAUCACACCCAGAACAAUUUCCCAGGCAGUCCCAGUCUCACUGCCCAGGGCUGUAUUUGCACACUGGGAGCAGCCGUGCACAGCCAGGGGGUUUCCAUUUCCCCAGGGGCCAUUGUUAAGGCCAUGGAGCACAUCUGGAAGAUGGGUUCUCCAUGGGGACAGGUUCCCAGCACUCAUUAUUUAACUGGUCUUUUAACAAACUUUUCUCUGCCUCCUCCUCCUCAUCCUCCUCCUCAUCAUCCUCGUCCUCAUCCUCAUCCUUGUCCUCAUCCUCCUCCUCCUCCUCCUCCUCUUCCUUCUCCUCCUCCUCUUCCUCCUCCUCCUCCUCUUCCUCCUCCUCCUCCUCUUCCUCCUCCUACUGGUCUUCCUCAUCCUUCUGGUCCUCUUGCUCCUCCUCGUCCUCCUCCUCUAUUUACUCGUCCUCCUACUCCUCCUCCUCCUCCUCGUCCUUGUCCUCCUUGUCGUCCUUGUCAUCCUAGUCCUGCCCCUCCUCCUCCUCCUCCUUGUCCUGCUCAUCCUUAUCCUCCUCCUCAUUACCAUCUUCCUCCACAUCCUCAUUCUCAUCCUCUUCUCCUCUUCCUCCUCCUAUUCCUCCUCCCCCUCGUCUUCCUCGUCCUCCUCCUGCUUGUCCUCCUUGUCCUCCAGGUCCUCCUUGUCCUCCUCAUCCUCGUCCUUUUCCUCAUCCUUGUCCUCCUCCUCCUCCUCCUCCUCCUCCUACUCCUCCUCCUCCUCUUCCUCCUCCUCCUCCUUAUCCUCCUCAUCCUUAUCCUCCUCCUCAUCAUCAUUCUUCCUCCUCAUCCUCAUUCUCCUCCUUCUCCUCCUCCUCAUCUUCCUCCUCCUCUUCCUCCUCGUCCUCCCCAUCCUGCUCGUCCUCAUCCUCCUCGCCUUUCUCCUCCUGGUCCUCCUCAUCCUUGUCCUCCUCCUCCUCCUCUUCUUUAUUCUCCUCCUCCUCCUCCUCCUCCUGUUCAUCUUCCUUUCCCUCCUCAUCCUCCUCAUCCUCCUUGUCCUCCUCAUCUUCAUCCUUUUCCUCAUCCUCCUCCUCCUCCUCCUCUUCAUCCUCCUCCUCCUUCUUCUCCUCUUCCUCAUUGUUCUCCUCCUCCUCAUCCUCCUCAUCAUCAUCCUUGUCCUCGUUCUCUCUCUUCCUCGUCCUAUUCCUCUUCCUCCUCAUCUUC